UUUAAGCAAGUCAAACUCAAAGAUAUCUCACAUGUCCUAUAAAAAUGCCCAUUGCCUUUUACUUUACUGACUCCCAGUUUCUCCAAACCCAUUUUGCCAAAUUUGGAACUUCUUUCUCAGAAACCCAAAAACAUGAACAUCAAGAAGCUCUCCUUCCUCUUGCUUGUUAUCCUCACCCUCCGGUGCCUCAAGCCCAUCUCAGCAGCCUGCCACGUGGACGACGAAGCAGGUCUACUUGCCUUCAAAUCGGGCAUCACAGCUGACCCAUCCAACAAGCUCAGCUCAUGGAAACCGGGUACGGACUGCUGCACAUGGGCGGGCAUAAACUGCUUAAACAACCGGGUCACAAGCCUCUCUCUCGGGGGUCAACCCGACCAACCCAACACCUUCUUAGCGGGUAAAAUCUCACCCUCUCUCUCAAAACUCAAGUUCUUAGGCGGCAUAUAUCUCCAAAACCUCAACCUCUCGGGUCCAUUCCCGGAUCUCCUAUUUGGGCUGCCCAACCUCCAGUACGUCUACAUCGAACACAACAGGCUCUCGGGUCGGAUACCCGAUAAGAUCGGCAACUUGACCCAGCUCGGUGCACUCAGUUUUUAUUACAACCAGUUCACUGGUCCAAUACCGAGCUCAAUCUCCAAGUUGACUCGGUUGACGCAGCUCAACCUGGGCGGCAACCUCUUAACCGGUUCGAUACCGUACGGCAUUAAAAACCUCAAGAACCUCUUCCCGCAACAAAUUUUCCGGGAAAAUCCCAGCUUCAAUUUCAGCUUUGGCGCCAAAACUGGCUUACCUUGAGCUCGGUCACAAUGCCCUGACGGGUCAAAUCCCAGAUUUCCUUGGAAAUUUCAAGGCCCUUGACACCCUUGAUCUCUCAUACAAUGGCUUCUCGGGAAUUGUGCCCCAGAGAUUUGUGAAUUUGACCAAGAUUUUCAACCUUGAUCUUUCUCAUAAUUAUCUCACCGACCCAUUUCCACAAUUGUACGUGAAGGGCAUCGAGUCCCUCGAUUUGUCUUACAACAGCUUCCAUUUGAACCAAAUUCCCAAAUGGGUUACUUCAUCGCCAAUCAUUUACUCUCUGAAGCUUGCAAAGUGUGGGAUUAAGUUGAAAUUGGAGGACUGGAAGCCUGCAGAGACGUAUUUCUAUGAUUUCAUAGAUUUAUCCGAGAACGAAAUUACGGGCAGUCCGAUUGGGUUGCUUAACAAGACUGAUUUCUUGGUGGGUUUUUCGGCUUCUGGAAAUAAGUUGAAGUUCAAUCUGGAGAGCUUGAGGAUUGUGAAGACGUUGAAGCAAUUGGACUUGUCCAGGAAUUUGGUUUUUGGGAAAGUGCCCAGUGGAGUUUCAGGGCUUGACAGAUUGAAUGUGAGCCACAACCAUCUGUGUGGACCAAUUCCAGCCACCAAGUUUGCUGCUUCAGCGUUUUUGGGGAACGAUUGUCUUUGUGGUGCUCCACUGGCAGCGUGUAAGUAGAGGAAGAUUGCCUUGCCACAUAACAAGAAGCUUGAAGGAAAUAAAACCUUGCCUAGAGAGCACAUAACAAGAAGCUUGAAGGAAAUAAAGGGCAGGAAGAGAGAAGUUAGGGUCAUUAUAGUUGAUCUUGGGAGAAGAAACGGAGCAAUGUCUCUCUCCUUAUCUUGUAUGUCAAUUUAGAGUUAAUCUUAUUAGCAGUUGAAACAAAGGCAAAGGGAAAGGUAAUGAAAAAAUCAAUGAACUUUGUUGUUGGAGGAACCUGAACU